rnacentral:rRNA from 1 species
AUUGAACGCUGGCGGCACGCCUAACACAUGCAAGUCGAGCGGUAGCAGGACAUGUAGCAAUACAUGUUGCUGACGAGCGGCGGACGGGUGAGGAACACGUAGGAACUUGCCCAGAAGAGGGGGAUAACCAAGGGAAACUUUGGCUAAUACCGCAUACACCCUGAGGGGGAAAGCUGCCGCAAGGUGGCGCUUUUGGAGAGGCCUGCGUCCGAUUGGCUAGUUGGUAGGGUAAGAGCCUACUAAGGCGAUGAUCGGUAACUGGUCUGAGAGGACGACCAGGCACACUGGGAUGGAGAAACGGCCCAGACUCCUACGGGAGGCAGCAGUGGGGAAUAUUGGACAAUGGGGGCAACCCUGAUCCAGCGAUGCCGCGUGGGUGAAGAAUGCCUUCGGGUUGGAAAGCCCUUUAGGUUGGGAAGAAGGUUAUGAGGGGACAAUCCUUGUAACUUGACGGUACCGACAGAAUAAGCACCGGCAAACUCUGUGCCAGCCGCCGCCGUAA